rnacentral:tRNA from 1 species
CAUUAGAUGGCUGAAAUGUAAGUAAUGGUCUCUUAAACCACAUAAUAAUAUAUUAACAAAUAUUUCUAAUG